rnacentral:rRNA from 1 species
UACGAAGGGGGCUAGCGUUGUUCGGAAUUACUGGGCGUAAAGAGCGCGCAGGCGGUCGAUCAAGUCGAGUGUGAAAGCCCCCGGCUCAACUGGGGAGGGUCAUUCGAUACUGAUCGACUCGAAGGCAGGAGAGGGUAGUGGAAUUCCCGGUGUAGUGGUGAAAUGCGUAGAUAUCGGGAGGAACACCAGUGGCGAAGGCGACUACCUGGCCUGUUCUUGACGCUGAGGCGCGAAAGCUAGGGGAGCAAACGGGG